UCCAGACUCCUACGGGAGGCAGCAGUGGGGGAUAUUGCACAAUGGGGGGAACCCUGAUGCAGCGACGCCGCGUGGGUGAAGGAGUAUUUCGGUAUGUAAAGCCCUAUCGGCAGGGAAGAAGCAAGACGGUACCUGACUAAGAAGCCCCGACUAACUACGUGCCAGCAGCCGCGGUAAUACGUAGGGGGCGAGCGUUAUCCGGAUUCACUGGGUGUAAAGGGAGCGUAGACGGCCAAGCAAGCCAGGGGUGAAAGCCCGGGGCCCAACCCCGGGACUGCCCUUGGAACUGCAUGGCUGGAGUGCGGGAGGGGCAGGCGGAAUUCCUGGUGUAGCGGUGAAAUGCGUAGAUAUUAGGAGGAACACCAGUGGCGAAGGCGGCCUGCUGGACGAUGACUGACGUUGAGGCUCGAAAGCGUGGGGAGCAAACAGGAUUAGAUACCCGUGUAA
rnacentral:rRNA from 1 species